UUGUGCUUCGUGAAGUGUCAGAUAAUUUGGAUAGGGAAAAAGGGGUGGUAAGUCAGGCUUUUUUUUCUGUACGUCCACAUUGAAGAUGUGGUGUCUUCAAUGCCAACAGAAAACAACACUUGCUUUGCAAACUCUCUCUAAAGUGGGAAACUAAGCCCCAGGAAACCUAAAGCCCCAUGAGAGAACUCAACUCCAGAGAUUGUCUUUGAUCACCCGAGGUUCUUCAGGUGGCUGCACACAAGGGCUGUGGAAACAACACACCCAAGCACAGUGGAUUCCAUCUGGAAGCUCACACACACCAGUCCUUCCACAGGAAAACUCAGAGGUAUUGCAAAAGGGGCAAGUUUUCCUCUGGAACACAUCCACAGGUUCAGAGCAAGCACGCUGGAGUAGCAAUGGCUUCUACAUGUUGCACACCCACACAUGCAUAGUACUUUAAUCAGAACUUUAAGUAUUUCAGAUUUGUUACAGAAUUAAGCCACCUGAAGCACAUGAAGCAACUAAAGGCAGGCAGUAGCUCUUUAAAAGCUGGGCUAGGGGGAGGAUACUCCCAUAUCACAAGGAAGGCUUCUGUGGUGGCCACAGUAGCAGAACCAGCAGCCAGAAAUGGAUUAUGAGAGAUUUGAGGCUCAGAGAAUGUGAAUCCCACAAGGCAUCACCUUGCCAAGCCAGGAAUUCUUCAUCUGCUCUGAACUUGGGUAGUUACCCUUGCGAGGAAAUGCAAGUUCCUUGAUCCACGUUCCCUGCUGGCUUUGGUCACUGAAUUCCUGGUGUUUGAAAAGGAGAUA